UAAUCUAGUUCAGGGAUAGGCAACCUUUGGCACUUCUGAUAUUUUGCCAGAAUUAUGAUUGUAAGAGCAUUAUGGGGGAUGUAGUCUACAAUAACUGGAGUGCCAAAGGUUGUCUAUCCCUGAUCUAGUAGU